rnacentral:rRNA from 1 species
CGUUAGCGGCGGACGGGUGAGUAACACGUGGGUGACCUACCUAUAAGACUGGGAUAACUCCGGGAAACCGGGGCUAAUACCGGAUAACACAUGAAACCGCAUGGUUUCAUGAUGAAAGACGGUUUUGCUGUCACUUAUAGAUGGACCCGUGGCGUAUUAGCUAGUUGGUAAGGUAACGGCUUACCAAGGCAACGAUACGUAGCCGACCUGAGAGGGUGAUCGGCCACACUGGAACUGAGACACGGUCCAGACUCCUACGGGAGGCAGCAGGC